AAUGAACGUUGGCGGCGUGGAUUAGGCAUGCAAGUCGAGCGGGUAUAGCAAUAUAUCAGCGGCGAAAGGGAGAGUAACGCGUAGCUACGUACCCCGGAGUCCAGAAUAGCCAGCCGAAAGGCUGGGUAAUGCUGGAUGACGUCUCCGGACUAAAGGUGUGAUUCCGCUUUGGGAGCGGGCUGCGUUGUACUAGCUUGUUGGUGGGGUAAUGGCCUACCAAGGCGAUGAUGCAUACCGGGCGUGAGAGCGUGGCCCGGCUCACUGGGACUGAGACACUGCCCAGACACCUACGGGUGGCUGCAGUCGAGAAUCUUCCGCAAUGGGACGAAAGUCUGACGGAGCGACGCCGCGUGCGGGAUGAAGGCCCUUGGGUUGUAAACCGCUGUCAGAGGGGAUGAAAUCUUCGGAGGUGCUCCUCCAAAGUUGACAGAGCCUCAAAGGAAGCACGGGCUAAGUACGUGCCAGCAGCCGCGGUAAAGUGACU
rnacentral:rRNA from 1 species